UGCGCAGUGCCACGCUGGGCCGGGGGCGGGCUCCCGGAGGAGUGAUGAGGGGCGGGGGCGGCCGCGGGGCGGCCGAGGUCCCCUCGGGGUCCCCACAUCCCCCCGAUCCGUGCGUCCCCGGGGAACGCGGAAACCGGAGCUCCAGUCCGAAGGAGGCGCGGGGGCGACGUAGUGCGCGGUUUGCAGGACAAGGUGCAGCAGCCCUUUUGAGAUGGAAGCAAACCCUGGGACUAGCAGCACAGACACCACAUUUCUGCUGCAGUGUUUAUCUUGUUGUGGUUGUCACCCCUGUCCUUAUCCUGGGACUUGGCAUAUUGACGGUGCAUGGAAACCAGAA